rnacentral:rRNA from 1 species
UAGGGAAUAUUAGAAAUGGACGAAAGUCUGAUCUAGCAACACCGCGUGUGCGAAGAAGGCCUUCGGGUCGUAAAGCACUUUUUGGAAGGAAUAGGAAGGAAUGUACUUCCAGAAUAAGUCUCGGCUAACUACGUGCCAGCAGCCGCGGUAACACGUAGGAGGCGAACGUUAUCCGGAUUUACUGGGCGUAAAGCGCGUGUAGGUGGUACUGUAAGUAGGGCGUGAAAGCUCCUGGCUCAACUGGGAGAGGCCGUUCUAAACUACAGAACUAGAGGAUGGUAGAGGGAGGUGGAAUUCCAGGUGUAGCGGUGGAAUGCGCAGAUAUCUGGAGGAACACCGGUGGCGAAGGCGGCCUCCUGGACCAUUCCUGACACUCAGACGCGAAAGCUAGGGU